rnacentral:rRNA from 1 species
CAGUAGCCGCGGUAAUACAGAGGGUGCGAGCGUUAAUCGGAUUUACUGGGCGUAAAGCGUGCGUAGGCGGCUUCUUAAUUCGGAUGUGAAAUCCCUGAGCUUAACUUAGGAAUUGCAUUCGAUACUGGGAAGCUAGAGUAUGGGAGAUGAUGGUAGAAUUCCAGGUGUAGCGGUGAAAUGCGUAGAGAUCUGGAGGAAUACCGAUGGCGAAGGCAGCCAUCUGGCCUAAUACUGACGCUGAGGUACGAAAGCAUGGGGAGCAAACAGGAUUAGAUACCCCGGUAGUCCCUGUCUCUUAUAC